AUGCACGCUGGCGGCGUGCCUAAUACAUGCAAGUAGCACGCUGAAGGAGGAGCUUGCUCUUCUGGAUGAGUUGCGAACGGGUGAGUAACGCGUAGGUAACCUGCCUGGUAGCGGGGGAUAACUAUUGGAAACGAUAGCUAAUACCGCAUGACAACAGUUAUUGCAUGAUAACUGUUUAAAAGGGGCAACUGCUCCACUACCAGAUGGACCUGCGUUGUAUUAGCUAGUUGGUGAGGUAACGGCUCACCAAGGCGACGAUACAUAGCCGACCUGAGAGGGUGAUCGGCCACACUGGGACUGAGACACGGCCCAGACGCCUACGGGAGGCAGCAGUAGGGAAUCUUCGGCAAUGGACGGAAGUCUGACCGAGCAACGCCGCGUGAGUGAAGAAGGUUUUCGGAUCGUAAAGCUCUGUUGUAAGAGAAGAACGAGUGUGAGAGUGGAAAGUUCACACUGUGACGGUAUCUUACCAGAAAGGGACGGCUAACUACGUG
rnacentral:rRNA from 1 species